AGAGUUUGAUCAUGGCUCAGGUUGAACGCUGGCGGCAGGCCUAACACAUGCAAGUCGAACGGUAACAGGAAACAGCUUGCUGUUUCGCUGACGAGUGGCGGACGGGUGAGUAAUGUCUGGGAAACUGCCUGAUGGAGGGGGAUAACUACUGGAAACGGUAGCUAAUACCGCAUAACGUCGCAAGACCAAAGAGGGGGACCUUCGGGCCUCUUGCCAUCAGAUGUGCCCAGAUGGGAUUAGCUAGUAGGUGGGGUAACGGCUCACCUAGGCGACGAUCCCUAGCUGGUCUGAGAGGAUGACCAGCCACACUGGAACUGAGACACGGUCCAGACUCCUACGGGAGGCAGCAGUGGGGAAUAUUGCACAAUGGGCGCAAGCCUGAUGCAGCCAUGCCGCGUGUAUGAAGAAGGCCUUCGGGUUGUAAAGUACUUUCAGCGGGGAGGAAGGGAGUAAAGUUAAUACCUUUGCUCAUUGACGUUACCCGCAGAAGAAGCACCGGCUAACUCCGUGCCAGCAGCCGCGGUAAUACGGAGGGUGCAAGCGUUAAUCGGAAUUACUGGGCGUAAAGCGCACGCAGGCGGUUUGUUAAGUCAGAUGUGAAAUCCCCGGGCUCAACCUGGGAACUGCAUCUGAUACUGGCAAGCUUGAGUCUCGUAGAGGGGGGUAGAAUUCCAGGUGUAGCGGUGAAAUGCGUAGAGAUCUGGAGGAAUACCGGUGGCGAAGGCGGCCCCCUGGACGAAGACUGACGCUCAGGUGCGAAAGCGUGGGGAGCAAACAGGAUUAGAUACCCUGGUAGUUCACGCCGUAAACGAUGUCGACUUGGAGGUUGUGCCCUUGAGGCGUGGCUUCCGGAGCUAACGCGUUAAGUCGACCGCCUGGGGAGUACGGCCGCAAGGUUAAAACUCAAAUGAAUUGACGGGGGCCCGCACAAGCGGUGGAGCAUGUGGUUUAAUUCGAUGCAACGCGAAGAACCUUACCUGGUCUUGACAUCCACGGAAGUUUUCAGAGAUGAGAAUGUGCCUUCGGGAACCGUGAGACAGGUGCUGCAUGGCUGUCGUCAGCUCGUGUUGUGAAAUGUUGGGUUAAGUCCCGCAACGAGCGCAACCCUUAUCCUUUGUUGCCAGCGGUCCGGCCGGGAACUCAAAGGAGACUGCCAGUGAUAAACUGGAGGGAGGUGGGGAUGACGUCAAGUCAUCAUGGCCCUUACGACCAGGGCUACACACGUGCUACAAUGGCGCAUACAAAGAGAAGCGACCUCGCGAGAGCAAGCGGACCUCAUAAAGUGCGUCGUAGUCCGGAUUGGAGUCUGCAACUCGACUCCAUGAAGUCGGAAUCGCUAGUAAUCGUGGAUCAGAAUGCCACGGUGAAUACGUUCCCGGGCCUUGUACACACCGCCCGUCACACCAUGGGAGUGGGUUGCAAAAGAAGUAGGUAGCUUAACCUUCGGGAGGGCGCUUACCACUUUGUGAUUCAUGACCGGGGUGAAGUCGGAACAAGGUAACCGUAGGGGAACCUGCGGUUG
rnacentral:rRNA from 1 species